rnacentral:rRNA from 1 species
UACGGAGGGUGCAAGCGUUAUCCGGAUUUACUGGGUUUAAAGGGUGCGUAGGCGGCGCGGUAAGUCGGGUGUGAAAUCUCGGAGCUUAACUCCGAAACUGCAUUCGAUACUGCCGUGCUUGAGGACUGGAGAGGAGACUGGAAUUUACGGUGUAGCGGUGAAAUGCGUAGAUAUCGUAAGGAAGACCAGUGGCGAAGGCGGGUCUCUGGACAGUUCCUGACGCUGAGGCACGAAGGCCAGGGGAGCAAACGGG